UACAGAGGUUUCAAGCGUUGUUCGGAUUCAUUGGGCGUAAAGGGUGCGUAGGCGGCGCGGUAAGUCGGGUGUGAAAUCUUGGAGCUUAACUCCGAAACUGCAUUCGAUACUGCCGUGCUUGAGGACUGGAGAGGAGACUGGAAUUUACGGUGUAGCGGUGAAAUGCGUAGAUAUCGUAAGGAAGACCAGUGGCGAAGGCGGGUCUCUGGACAGUACCUGACGCUGAGGCACGAAGGCCAGGGGAGCAAACGGG
rnacentral:rRNA from 1 species